rnacentral:ncRNA from 1 species
UACACAUGUCAGGGGAGCUGAUAGAGCUGAGAGUGGCUUCGCGCCUAACCCUUCGAACCUGUUGGCUAGCACCAGAGUAGGGAGUACAGAUGACCACAGCG